UGAUCCCACAGUUAACCCAACACCAGAAAAGAAAUUAACCACAACAGUAAAACCUCCAGAUGCUCCCAAGCCAGCGACUACUGUGCCUAAAUUGGAUCCAAAGCCGGAUGAUGGUAAGGAUGUU